AAAUAAGGAUGUAUGGCCGCUCGUAGGGAGUUGAUGACAGUUCCUGUACGGGAGGUAAAGUCCGGGCUCCUUCGGAAAAGAUGCCGGAUAAUAACCGGGCGGAAAAAGAAAGUUGUCUAACAAAAGGUUUCCUUUGAUCUGGCAUAACUCUUUAACCGACAGAAAGUGCUACAGAAAAUAACCGCCUGCUUCGGCAGGUAAGGGUGAAAAGGCAGGGUAAGAGCCUACCGCAUUUACGGCAACGCAAAUGGCAAAAGCAAACCUCAUCUGGAGCAAGAUCAUGCAGCGGUUUGGUAUUCCGACCUUACACCGCGGGUAGAUUGCUGGAGGCAGCGGGCGACUGUUGCCGCGGAUAGAUGGCCAUGCGGGAUCAUCCCGUACCAGAACCCGGCUUACCGCAUCCUUUUUAUAUA
rnacentral:RNase_P_RNA from 1 species